rnacentral:rRNA from 1 species
UACGGGGGGAGCAAGCGUUGUUCGGAUUUACUGGGCGUAAAGGGCGCGUAGGCGGCCUGUGCAAGUCAGUUGUGAAAUCUCCGGGCUUAACUCGGAACGGUCAACUGAUACUGCUCGGCUAGAGUGCGGAAGGGGCAACUGGAAUUCUUGGUGUAGCGGUGAAAUGCGUAGAUAUCAGGAGGAACACCGGUGGCGAAGGCGGCUCUCUGGACCACAACUGACGCUGAGGAACGAAAGCUAGGGGAGCAAACAGG